rnacentral:rRNA from 1 species
CCUGGCUCAGAAUCAACGCUGGCGGCGUGCCUCAGACAUGCAAGUCGAACGCGAAAGCCUCCUUCGGGGGGCAAGUAGAGUGGCGCACGGGUGAGUAACACGUAGGUAAUCUACCUUUGGAUUGGGAAUAACAACCGGAAACGGUUGCUAAUACCGAAUAAUGCAGCGGCACCUAAUGGUGACAGUUGUUAAAGCGGGGGAUCGCAAGACCUCGCGUCUAAAGAGGAGCCUGCGGCGGAUUAGCUAGUUGGUAAGGUAACGGCUUACCAAGGCGAUGAUCCGUAGCCGGCCUGAGAGGGCGGUCGGCCACACUGACACUGACAUACGGGUCAGACUCCUACGGGAGGCAGCAGUCGGGAAUUUUGGGCAAUGGGCGAAAGCCUGACCCAGCAACGCCGCGUGAAGGAUGAAAUCCCUCGGGAUGUAAACUUCGCAAGAACGGGAAGAAUAAGUAGGAGUUAAUAUCUCUUACGAUGACGGUACUGUUUGUAAGCUCCGGCUAACUCCGUGCCAGCAGCCGCGGUAAUACGGGGGGAGCAAGCGUUGUUCGGAUUUACUGGGCGUAAAGGGCGCGUAGGCGGCCACCGCAAGUCGACUGUGAAAUCUCCGGGCUUAACCCGGAAAGGUCAGCCGAUACUGCGGGGCUAGAGUGCAGAAGGGGCAACUGGAAUUCUCGGUGUAGCGGUGAAAUGCGUAGAUAUCGAGAGGAACACCUGCGGCGAAGGCGGGUUGCUGGGCUGACACUGACGCUGAUGCGCGAAAGCUAGGGGAGCGAACGGGAUUAGAUACCCCGGUAGUCC